rnacentral:rRNA from 1 species
UGGGGAAUAUUGGACAAUGGGCGCAAGCCUGAUCCAGCCAUGCCGCGUGAGUGAUGAAGGCCCUAGGGUUGUAAAGCUCUUUCACCGGUGAAGAUAAUGACGGUAACCGGAGAAGAAGCCCCGGCUAACUUCGUGCCAGCAGCCGCGGUAAUACGAAGGGGGCUAGCGUUGUUCGGAUUUACUGGGCGUAAAGCGAACGUAGGCGGACUUUUAAGUCAGGGGUGAAAUCCCGGGGCUCAACCCCGGAACUGCCUUUGAUACUGGAAGUCUUGAGUAUGGUAGGGGUGAGUGGAAUUCCGAGUGUAGAGGUGAAAUUCGUAGAUAUUCGGAGGAACACCAGUGGCGAAGGCGGCUCACUGGACCAUUACUGACGCUGAGGUGCGAAAGCGUGGGGAGCAAACAGG